rfam:Schistosoma haematobium scaffold722_15, whole genome shotgun sequence.
GUACUGCUGAGCAGUCCCACGAUAGGACGAAACGGCCGUCCAGUGC